GACUUUUUGACACCUGUCCCCACUUUAUGUAGUGGUUGGCCAGGUGUGCAAAGGUGUGACAGUAGGUGAAGGUGUGAACCUUUCUCUCAAGCUCUCUUCACCUGCUUCUGUCACUUUUCAUGUGCACCAACACUGCUUACAUGGACAGACUCAAGAGUGUUUGUCCUUAGCCCAUUUGUAGGAGUCCCCAUUAAAAAGGCAGAGAGGAGGCAGAGUUCUUGGAAAGAGAUGUGUGAUGGAGUUAAAAACCAUCUUACCUGUAGAUAUAGUCAGUCAGCACUCAAGCAUCCUAGUGUGUUUCAUCCAUACUAAAUACUUUAUUGUCCCUUCAGAGCAGAGUUGUCAUAGCAGCCACUGGGGGGGGACAUACAGUGAAAUGCACUAGAUAGAUAGAUAGAUAGAUAGAUACUUUAUUGAUCCUAAAAUCAGGAAUAUUCACUAAUAUGUAAAAUCUAAACAGACACACAUAACCCCACCAAAAAACUACAAGAGAAUCAAACUAAAGAACUACAAGUAGGGGACAAUAUAUACGUAUUGCAUCCGUUUUGAACGAGUAGCUGUCACGUGACAUGUAUCGAUCAAAGAGAUGUUGACGUCAGAAACCUCUGCAGCUCCACCUGGGACGCCCCCGUCCUUUAGACCUUGUUGCGACACGGCCUUUUAUCAAACAGGGACGCACACCUGGUAACAGUGAACUCGAUUAAAUCUUGUGAAAACAGAAACAACAUCCAUUUAAAUGUAUUUUAAACAUAACUUUAAGUAAAGACGCCUAAACUCGCCCUGUGAAACACGUUGACGGAUAUUGUCACCGAGUCACAAAACGGAAACAAAAUCAGAAACAGGAAAUGCUAUUCUGGCCUUCGGGAAUGGAUCGGACGUGAAAACGAGCGCCAGCCAGCCUGGGAUGUCCAGUCCAGCAGCGGAUAAUCAGAGUCCACACUUGGCAACCACUGCUCCAGGCGUUUCCAUGGAAACGGAGCAGAACAUUCUGCGAGCACAGAUACCUACUCAGGGAUGUUUGAAUGAAAGAAGGAGGUUUUGAAGCUUUCAGAUUGGAUGUACAGUGGCAAGAAAAGGUGAAUGAGAACGACAGACUGUGGGGUGCCGAGAGCGACCCCACUCUGCCUUCUCCGGGCUUGUUGGACCGUGGAGCCGAGCCUGUUUGCCUGUCCCUGCUGCUGGGCCUCGGAUGGCUGCUGCCCACCCUGCUGCUGCUCUCUGACCAAUAAGAGGCCUUGUUUCCCUGGCCUCCAUGGACAAACUCCAAACCUGGGGGAGAGGAGCAGAUGUGUUGUGCAGCCACUGCCGUCAGAGAGGGUUCCACCACUGCACCACAGGAAGGACAAACCAGCAAGGAGACACGAUAUUUCAACGCUGGAGCCUGAGAAAGUUCUGCCGCUGGCCCCCACCGCCCCCUAGUGCACAUGUGCAGUGGACCCCAGAAUGCGGAGGCAACCCCAGAAAAGAAAAACUAAUUUGCUGUGUGUGCCAGGCGAGCAACAUUCAGUGUGGAAAAUAAAAAGAUGAAUGUAUUAACGUUAUUGCAAUACAGACAUUGAAAAAUCUCCUGCCUUUUCCCCUUAAUACAUCCGUGGGAAGAAUGGUCUCCAUCUUGUGAUUCGGUAUCCAGCUGUUAUAUUAAUGGGAUGUACACGGGUUGGAUUUAGUUCAUUGUUAUUGGUCCUAUUGGUGUUUGUGUGUGGUUUGGCACCAUGGAGAUGAACAAGAACACUACUGGAGAGACACAAAGUUGUGUUGGAUCCUUCCAAUGUAAACCACGUGCCCAGGUAUCAUAAAUGGAUGAAGUGUCCUGAGCUGCAACAUCUGACCCCCGGAACACGACAUGCAGGGGAGCUGGAGGGAAGAUGAUGACAGAUAAAGUGAAGCAGCAAUGGGCAGAUCCCAGUAUAGAAGAGGAGCAGUGCAUGGUGGGAGAUGUCCCCGUGUUCCCGACGGACCCCUCCUCGGCUGAGCUGGAAAUCAUGAUGGCAGAGACGAGGAGAUCGGGAAGGAGGUGACACACAUGAUGAUGCGCUAUGCUGGCCUAGGAGGAGCUGUCUGGACAUCUUUGCCUAGACUGCUGCCCCCACAACCUGCUUCCAGAUAAACGGUAGAGGAUGGAUAAAAUUUGAACUUCUGGACUGACAGUGUUCUGGGCCCCUGUUACUCCUACAUAUGGAUGUCAACUGCAAGUUGAUGGGGUUUGAGCAACUUAAUGAAUUGUAUGCAAUUAUGAUUUUUUUUCCAUUGUUCUAAUCUGACCCACUUCCUAGUGUGAUAUAAGAUGCACCUCACAGCUGCUGUCUUAAAACACCAUAUAAGUGCUUUCACUCUGCUAAUCAGUUAGGUUGUUAUACUUGUUUUGCUGGGAAAUGACCUGCUCUACCUCCUGAGCCACACCUACUCAUGAUGUGCUUCAUUUCACUGUAAUAUAGAAUGUUAAGUGUUUUUGGGCUUGUAAAAAUAAAUGCACUCCCCCAGUGAGUACCUUUCUUUUAUAAUAUGGUGUACAGUG